rnacentral:rRNA from 1 species
CUACGGGAGGCUGCAGUGAGGAAUAUUGCACAAUGGGGGGAACCCUGAUGCAGCAACGCCGCGUGGAGGAUGACGCAUUUCGGUGUGUAAACUCCUUUUAUAUGUCAAGAAAAUGACGGUAGCAUAUGAAUAAGCACCGGCUAACUCCGUGCCAGCAGCCGCGGUAAUACAGAGGGUGCAAGCGUUACUCGGAAUCACUGGGCGUAAAGGACGCGUAGGCGGGUUGGAAAGUCAGGUGUGAAAUCCUACAGCUUAACUGUAGAACUGCACUUGAAACUUCUAAUCUAGAGUAUGGGAGGGGGAGAUGGAAUUAGUGGUGUAGGGGUAAAAUCCGUAGAUAUCACUAGGAAUACCUAAAGCGAAGGCGAUCUCCUGGAACAUUACUGACGCUAAGGCGUGAAAGCGUGGGGAGCAAGCAGGAUUAGAUACCCCAGUAGUC